CAAAGAAGUAAGCCAGUACUUGUAGAGGAAAAUAUAUGGAGGGAAAAAACGAAGUAAAACUACAUGGAAUGUGGGUUAGUACUUACUCCAAGAGAGUGGAACUAGCCCUCAGACUCAAAGGCAUACCUUAUGAGUACAUUGAAGAGGAUUUGAGCAACAAGAGCCAGUUGCUCCUCGACUACAAUCCAGUUCACAAGAAGGUACCUGUACUCGUCCACAAUGGAAAACCCAUCUCCGAGUCACACAUCAUCCUAGAAUACAUUGACGAAACUUGGAAGACUGCUCCUAAGCUCCUGCCUGAAGAUCCUUACCAAAGAGCCAAAGUUCGAUUCUGGGCUAGUUUUAUCCAGCAACAGUUGUUUGAGAGCGUACUCAUAGUAGUGACAAGUUAUGGUGAAGCACAAGAAAAGGCGGCCGCAGAAGUGAUUGAGAAACAGGGAGUGUUUGAAGAAGGAAUGAAGGAGUAUUUUGCAGGAGGUGCUUCUUUCACUAUGGGGAGAAUUGGGGACUACUAGACAUAUUGAUGUGUUCAACAUUUGGCGCUUAUGAAGCUCAUGAAGAAGUGUUUGGUCUCAAAAUGAUGGCCCCGGAGAGGAAUCCGUUACUGUUCGCAUGGAUUACAACUUUGAAGGAGCAUCCAUUGAUGAAGGGAUUACAACCUCCUCAUGACAAACUUGUUGAGACCCUUCAAUUCAUAAAACGAGCAAUUCAUGCUAGAGGGUCUGAAUCACAUUAGCUGGUCAUCUACCUAUUUUGAUCAGCAAGUUUGAUCCCUUUCGUUACGUG